rnacentral:rRNA from 1 species
UACGUAGGGUGCAAGCGUUAAUCGGAAUUACUGGGCGUAAAGCGCGCGUAGGCGGCUCUUCAAGUCAGGCGUGAAAGCCCCGAGCUUAACUCGGGAACUCCGCUUGAUACUGUCGAGCUAGAGUGUGGAAGGGGCGAUUGGAAUUCCGUGUGUAGCGGUGAAAUGCGUAGAUAUACGGAGGAACACCAGAGGCGAAGGCGGAUCGCUGGGCCAACACUGACGCUGGUGUGCGAAAGCUAGGGGAGCAAACGGG